UUUACUUCCAGAAAAGAAAAAGACAGCUGCUAAAGUCAGGGGGAAUACAGAAAAUAGAGUGGCAAGAAUGGGGACCAAGUGUAGCUCCUGAGGGACUAUCCAUGGCUUGAGAACAAGACAAACUACUGUGAUCCAGCAAACAGACCUUGAAAAGAGGGCAACUUCUUGCUGAGGACAGAGUCAGAUAAAAGAGGAAGUACUCUUCUAACAAAAAUUGUUAUAGAGACUUUCGUCCUUUUGAACUUUCCCUGCCUUUGGGGUCAUCAUCAAAGAAUAGAAAAGAAGUAUUUUUUCC
rnacentral:lncRNA from 1 species